ensembl:snRNA U6 U6 spliceosomal RNA
GGUAGUAUGACUUAGCAUACACUAAAAUUGGAAUGAUGUGGGAAGAUUAGUAUGGCUCCUGCUCAAAGAUGUCACACAAAUUCAAGGAGCAUUCCAUAUUUUU